rnacentral:rRNA from 1 species
GACGAACGCUGGCGGCGUGCCUAAUACAUGCAAGUCGAACGCUUUUUCUUUCACCGGAGCUUGCUCCACCGAAAGGAAAAGAGUGGCGAACGGGUGAGUAACACGUGGGUAACCUGCCCAUCAGAAGGGGAUAACACUUGGAAACAGGUGCUAAUACCGUAUAACACUGUUUUCCGCAUGGAAGAAAGUUGAAAGGCGCUUUUGCGUCACUGAUGGAUGGACCCGCGGUGCAUUAGCUAGCUGGUGAGGUAACGACUCACCAAGGCAACGAUGCAUAGCCGACCUGAGAGGGUGAUCGGCCACACUGGGACUGAGACACGGCCCAGACUCCUACGGGAGGCAGCAGUAGGGAAUCUUCGGCAAUGGACGAAAGUCUGACCGAGCAACGCCGCGUGAGUGAAGAAGGUUUUCGGAUCGUAAAACUCUGUUGUUAGAGAAGAACAAGGAUGAGAGUAAAAUGUUCAUCCCUUGACGGUAUCUAACCAGAAAGCCACGGCUAACUACGUGCCAGCCGCCGCCGUAA